GUGGAUGGCGGAGGGUUUCAUACCCAGAGGAGAAGAAAGAAUGGAGGAUGUGGCUGAAGGCUUCUUGAAUGAACUGAUAAGACGAAGCUUGGUUCAAGUGGCUUAUACAUAUUGGGAAAGAGUUAUUGAAUGUAGGGUUCAUGAUUUACUCCAUGAUCUUGCGAUACAAAAGGCAUUGGAGGUAAACUUCUUUGGCAUUUAUGAUCCAAGAAGCCACUCCAUAUCCUCUUUAUGUAUCAGACAUGUGGUUCAUAGUCACGGAGAAAGGUACCUCUCACUUGAUCUUUCUAACUUAAAGUUGAGGUCAAUUAUGUUCUUCGAUCCAGAUUUUCGUAAGAUGAGUCUUAUAAACUUCAGGAGUGUGUUCCAACAUCUAUAUGUGUUGUACUUGGAUAUGCGCUUUGGGAAUGUGUCUAUAGUACCUGAUGCCAUAGGAAGCUUGUACCACCUCAAGUUGUUAAGACUGAGAGUUAUCCGUGAUCUUCCGUCUUCCAUUGGCAACCUCAAGAAUCUACAGACACUUGUUGUCGAUACGGGUGGAUACACUUGCCAACUACCCCAAAAGAUAGCUGACUUGAUAAAUUUAAGACAUUUAGUUGCUCGGUACUAUUCAAAACCUCUGGUACAUGUAAACAAACUCACUAGUCUUCAAGUUCUUGAAGGUGUUGGUUGUGAUCAAUGGAAAGAUGUUGACCCUAUUGAUUUAGUCAAUCUUCGAGAAUUAAGCAUGUUUGAUAUUAGCAAAACUUACUCCCUAAACAACAUUAGCAGCUUGAAAAACCUUAGCACUCUCAUAUUGUGUUGUGAAGAUUAUGGAUCAUUCCCAUCCCUUGAAUUUGUUAAUUGUUGUGAAAAGCUCCAGAAAUUGAUGUUAGAAGGGAAAAUAGAGAAAUUGCCAGAUCUGUUUCCAAAUUCCAUCACAAUGAUGGUUCUGAGGAAGUCAGUACUGAAAGAAGAUCCGAUGCCUACUUUGGGAAUGUUGCCAAACCUAAGGAAUCUCAAUUUGUUUAGUGCUUAUGAAGGAAAAGAAAUAAUGUGCAGUGAUAACAGCUUCAGUCAACUAGAGUUCCUUCAUCUUACUGAACUUGAGAAGCUAGAAAGAUGGGAUUUAGGCACAAGUGCCAUGCCUCUGAUUAAAGGUCUUGGUAUCCAUGACUGUCCAAAUUUAAAGGAGAUUCCUGAGAGAAUGAAAGACGUGGAGCUGUUGAAGAGGAAUUAUAUGUGGUGAAGCAUAUAUCAUGUCUUCAUAAUCGUAGAGGUAUUUCUGCCAAGCAUGCACAUUGGUUAUUAAUUGAGUGGUUUUAGUGUUUAAUUUCUUAUUGUUUUAAGCUUUUUGAGUGACUGUAAUUGGUUUGAACAUAAUUCGUCUACUGUAUGUUCUCUUGCUUAUCCACAUUUAUUUAAGACCAUAUGCUUUAUUUAUAUGUUAAAAAAAUGAAAUUAAAAAUACUAGUAUAUGGUACUCUCUCUUGUCCACAAUUUAGUAGUAUUUUUUUGUUCCUCUUUUAUAUUAAUAAUAUUUGUGUUAAAUCAACAGAGAAGAAUACAUUCACCUGCAUCAACUUGCCUUCUCCAACCAUCAAUCAAGUUGGCUGUUUUUUCUUAUGUUUUCGUUUUUCAAUGUUUAAUUUCUUUCUGUUUUUGGCUUUUCUUAGUGUGUGGAAACGUGCAUGUGUUGGAAUACAACUUUUUUUUUUUGGAUUUUGUGAUGACCUAAUUAGCGGAACAAAGUUAAAAAUGUUCAUGUAAAAUGAACAAAAAUAUCCUCAGUUAAUAGUUUGAUUCAAAAAUAUCAUUGUCUUCAAUAAUUUGAUCCAAAAAUGCUCUUAUUGUUACUUAAUAAGUCAAAACGUCUUUUUUCAAGUAAAUAUAUUAUCUCUUUUUUUUAAAACACGUUCUUUUCCUAAUAAUGAUUUUUUUUUUCAUUAUAAAAUGUUUAUCCUACUUCAAUUUAUAAAAAAUAUUAAUAAAUAAAAAUGUUUUAUAUAUUAUUAGAAAUUUUUUUAUCGUUAUCUAAAUGAAAAUUAAUGACGAGGUUACUAUGAGGACAUAUAAUAAAAGAAGUUGAGAACUCGCUCAGUUUGCAGCAAGAAUAACAAAAAAAAAAACUUACAAACUCGCUCGGUGUGGAGCGAUUUUUGGGAAAAAAUAGAGAGCAAAUCGCUCAUAAGUAGGGAGAAAAAAAGAUAAAAUAAAAGAGAAAAUCGCUCAUAAGGCAACAAGGUGAUCAAUUUUUUUUAUGCCAUUAACUGUAGUUAUAGCACAAACAUAUCUCGCUCCUUCUCUAAUGGAGUGUCCCUUUUGAUUAAACCAAAAAUUGAACGACCCUUUAUGUAUUUUAAAGAAAAAAAAGUGAUGUUUUUAACUUUGAAUUCGAAAUUUAAUCAUCCCAAUAUAAUUCAUGAACGAGUUUUUAUAUCAAUAUUAAAAUAAAAAAUAAAAAGUAAAAAGAUAAUAUAUACUAGCAGGGAUCCCCUGCUCAAAUUUACUGAUAAUGAGUUAAGGUAUCUAUAGAUUUUAAAAUGAAUUUUAUUAUAUGUUAUGUGUCUAUAUGUUGUUUGAACUCUUCAAAGAUGUCAUUAGGUGUGUGUCGGGUUCUCCAAAAGUAGAGUAUUUUUAGAGAAUUCAACACCGAUAGUGCAUCAAAAGUGAAGAGCCUGUGCAACUUAGCUAUGCACUGCUCUAUAAGAGGCCAUUAACUUCUGUUCUUAUGAAAAAUACAGGGAAUAUUUGCUUGAGUUUAUUGGUAGUUAUUAGAAUUUAUUCUCUUCCCCUAACUAAAAGUCCAUUACAACUACCUAACCUUUUCCAUGGCGGUCAUAUGUUCUUUACUUCAAUAAAUGGCAUACCAUUGUGAAAUGAAAAUGUUGAUAGAUUACUAUUUGAAAGUGAAUAUAAUUAGGCAAGUUAUUUUUCGAAUUUUAGUCUUUUAGACUGAUCAAACAUCUCUGAUUGAUUGAUUUCUUUAUACUGAUAUAUUCACAACUAAUUUGUAGCUCCGAUUUAAUUUUUAUGUUUUAGUCGAACAUUUGCAAUGACAACGUAAUAGAUGAAGCUGACCAUGUGUUAAUCAAGUUAGGUCAAAAUCACAACUUAAGAAACUCAAGAGUCCUACAAUCUCCAAAAGUAAUGUCAUUAUAUGUUUUUCUAUUGAAAUCCUCACGAAUCGUUGGUAAUGCCAGAAUCGUCUCUGUCAUCAACAUGAAGUUUAUAUUAAAUUUAGAGAAUUUAACCAUUUGAACAACAUUUUAAUUAGGUGUACGGUAUAAUUUUCCGACGAAGGAUGUCCAAAUGUAGCUCCACUCCUGCUUGAUGCUCACCUGCAUAGUGGGGAAGAGGUUAUUGAGUAUUUCGUCACCACUGUUUGCAUCUAAGGAUUCAAUCCAUUUUCCAUUGUCACAUAGUUUUCCAAAUACUUUACUACUUAUGAUUUUGCGAUUACUUAUAUGAAAGCGAUACUUAUGGUGUUAGGAUUACUAAUACUUGCUCCAAAAUAAGAAAAAUAGAAAAAUUAUAUUAUAUAUACUUCUUUGGUAUUUAAGUAUAUAAAUAAAUUAUUAAUGAAAAUUUUGCCAAGUCUAUAACGUGGAAGUCCAAUUGAAAUUGUACUACAUUAUUAAAGCUGCUGAUGUUUUUUUUUUAAUUAGGAAUUGGAUUUGUAAACAUUACCGCAGUCAAAUAGGAUUUUGGAGAAAGAAAGGUUUAUAUAAAGGGUAUUGAAAAAGGUUUUGUACCAAGUUUUUCAUUGUAUUUAAUAAGAAAAAUAUUUUGUUGAAUAAACUGUUUUCUUGUUCGAUUUAUUGUAAGUUGAGAAAAAAAUUGUUGCCGAGAGUGUACAAUCAAAUCAUGAGUGAUGACUGGGCAGGUAAUUGCGUUCUUAUGAUAUUAGGUUUUUAUGCUAUUGAUAGAGGUUUGUAUGCUACUGAUAGUUAUAGAAAGUAUGUGAAGGAGCAGAAUGUCAAGUUGAAAGUAUUAAGAGAGGUAAAUCAACAACGUGAAGAUCACAUUUUGGCAGAAAGGGAAAGUUGUUUCCCCCUCCAUCCAUAUAUGUAUUCCACUCCGAGAGGAAGAGAAAGGCGCUUAGUCCUGGAAGAGAAAGAGGAAGGAAAUAACUAGUCUCAGUUUAGUAAUGUUUUAAGAUUAGUCAAUUUUUAUAUAUAAGUUUUUCUUUUAGUUUUUUUUUAUCAAUUGCGUACUAAUUUAUGUUCGAUUCAAUAAUUGAUUUAGAUUACGAUUUAUGCGUUUCUAUACGGACAGCAAUACAUUGAAUUAAGUGGUCUACAAAGAGCACUUCUCGUAUAUAUAUACACACACAUUAAUAUACCAUGUUUAAUACACAAUAUUUAUACAUUCUAGGUUUUUUUUUUCUAGUCCAGACCAACUCAAAGAUUUUUCACUCAAAACGAUUCACGACAGAUCAAGUUUUUAAGUGAAGCUUUAAAGAAUUUUUUUCAAUAAUUAUCUAGAUAUUUUCAAAAAAAAAAAGAGUUUUGUUCUUAAAUGAGCUCCAAAAUUUUUAGAGUCAGCAGAAAUAAAAACAAUUUGAAAUUAUUGAAAAAAUAAGUCUAAAAGUCAAUUUAGAAAGACUCAGCAUGACUUAGAUAUUUUUGUCUGUUUCUUUUUCUAAUGACGUAAUUAUUUCUGCUCUAUUAUUGUUUACCAUAAUUGUAUUCAAACAAACAAACAACUUUUAAGUAAAAAAUAAUAAUCCCUAAGGUAUAUAUUUUCAUUUUGCAUAAUAUUUUUUUUAACGGGGUCAAAAAUUAAACACCAGCCUUACAAAAGUCCACUCCACGUAAAUUUCUGAAAAUUAGUUGAUCAUAAUAAGUUGAAUAAAUCCAAUGUAGACACCGUAUACGAAUACGUAUUUUACCAAAAAUAGAACAACACUACUGCAUGGAUGAUGCAACUAUACGGCAGAUGCAUGUAUUCUUCAAUAUGAAUGUAUAUCUAGUUGUUUGCGAUAAAUUUCAAUGUGACAGAAAGUAAAUUGCAAUCAGAAAUAAAAUAUGAAGAAACAAGAAUAUUUUAUAUAUUGAUUAGUAUGGGUACAAUUAUGUUCCUCCUUUGAUCCUUGAUUCUUUCUCUCGUAAUAUUUAUCAGGACCGUUAGUAACGUAUUUCUCAAAUUAGGAUGAUUUGUGGAUUUGAUCACUUUAUGAAUAUUAAGUUAAUUUGUGGAAUAUUCGAGAUUCAAGAUGAUAUAUACCCUUUAAUCUUUAUAUAGGCAUAAGCUAGGGUUUAUGGUUAAUAGCCUCCAAGAAUUCUAACUGGAAUCAAAUACAUCUUUUAGAGUCCCAACUAGAAUUGAACACGUCUUAUAGAAUACCACAAAUUUUCAAUGUCUAGACUCUAGGUUUAACAAUUAUUUAUUUGUUCAAAUUGGAAAAGCUUAAAAACUAUAUAUAUAUAUAUAUAUAUAUAAUUCCAUGAAAUGAUAAUCUGCCCAAUUCACUUUGGUUUGAACGGAUUAUUGACUUGCUUAUUUAUUAGCUCAUAACAUUACAAUAAAUAAAUAAAAACUGGGCUAAUAUCUAACCCAAAUUAAUCUAUGAGAGAUCUUGUAAGAUAUUUCCAGAAAGACAUUUUUCUAUUUGAUAUGUUAUACAUAAUUAGCCAUACCAAAGAAAAAUAAUAAUUUUAUUAAAUACUAAAAAAUUAUACUAGAAAAACAAAUAAAACAAAGUAAGAAAUGAACGGGUUGAGGUUUGACCUGCCUUUUAAAUAAUUUCACAAAAAUAACUUUUGAACAGACUAAUAUUCUGCUUACUUAUUAACUCAAUUCAUAUUGAUCCAUUCAAAUUCAGCUCAAUUGUCACCACUAUAUAUAGUUAUUUGAUAAGAGCCUAAAAGAAGGAAGGGACACUUACCAUAAAAAAAAUGAUAUCAACUAUUUCAAAGAAGUUUAUCAAACCUUCUUCUCCCACCCCAUCCACUCAAAGAUGGCACAAUCUUUCCCUUAUUGAUCAAGUUGUUGAUAAUUUGUAUAUGCCCUUUGUUUUUUUCUAUUCAAACCAUCAAGUGGCUACAAUCCCAAAACACCAAUUAUCAGAAUUUCUAACAAACUCUUUGUCAAAAACUCUAACAUCUUACUAUCCAUGGGCAGGAACUCUAAAAGACAAUGCUACUAUUGAGUGUGAUGAUCACGGUGCUGAGUUCUUCGAAGUUGAAAUCAACUCUUCCAUGGACGAAGUUAUUCAUAACCCUGAUUUGACAUCCCUCAAGGUUUAUCUUGGGGAUAUUUGUCGUCAUCAACAUCUGGUGCCUUAAUUGUUGCACAAUUAAGUCAUUUCGAGAUGCAGAACAAAAGCAAAGUGGAGAUCAAAGAGUUCAACAAUGGGUGUUUGAGAUCAACUCUAUUGCUAAUGAUGUUGUUGCUAUACUCGAGACUUAUAGCUUUGAGGCUGGUAAAGGUGCUAGUCGUCUCAAGGCUUGCGCUUGCAUAUGUAGCAAGGAGAAGAAAUUCUACAAUGUUGCCGAGGAGAUUCAAUCACUCAAGCAACGAAUCAUGGAUAUCUCUCGCAAACGAGAGACUUAUGGUAUUACAAAUAUCAAUAGUAAUACCAUUGGAGAAGGGCCAAGUAAUCAAGUUACAACAUUGAGGAGAACUACCUCAUAUGUGGAUGACCAGGAUUACAUUUUUGUUGGACUUCAGGAUGUUGUACAAACAUUGCUAGCUCAACUUCUCAAAGCAGAGCCUCGUCGAACCGUCCUCUCCAUUUAUGGCAUGGGCGGAUUAGGCAAGACCACUCUUGCAAGAAACCUCUACAAAAAUCCUAACAUAGCCUCUAGCUUCCCUACACGCGCUUGGAUAUGUGUUUCUCAAGAGUAUAACACAAUGGAUCUUCUUAAGACUAUCAUAAAAUCCAUCCAAGGUUGCGCCAAGAAAACUCUAGAUUUGUUGGAAAAGAUGGCAGAAAUAGAUCUAGAAAAUCACCUUCGUAAGCUAUUAACAGAAUGCAAAUACCUUGUGGUGGUUGAUGAUGUAUGGCAGAGAGAAGCAUGGGAGAGUUUGAAAAGAGCAUUCCCGAAUGGCAAGAAGGGCAGCAGAGUCAUUAUUACCACGCGCAAAGAGGAUGUCGCUGAAAGAGCAGACGACAGAGGUUUUGUUCAUAAACUUCGUUUCCUAAGUCAAGAAGAAAGUUGGGAUCUCUUUUGUAGGAAACUACUUGAUGUUCGAGCAAUGGUUCCAGAAAUGGAAAAUCUAGCUAAGGAAAUGGUGGAAAACUGUAGGGGCUUACCUCUUGCAAUUGUUGUAUUGAGAAAGAAUGGAGGAUGUCGCUGAAGGCUUCUUGAAUGAGCUAAUAAGACGAAGCUUGGUUCAAGGGGAUUAUACAUUUUGGGAAAGAGUUACUAAAUGUAGGGUUCAUGAUUUACUCCGUGAUCUUGCGAUACAAAAGGCAUUGGAGGUAAACUUCUUUGACAUUUAUGAUCCAAGAAGCCACUCCAUAUCCUCUUUAUGUAUCAGACAUGUGAUUCAUAGUCAAGGAGAAAGG
rnacentral:lncRNA from 1 species